CAAAUGUUAAGGGAAAAAUUAGAAAUUUCAACCAAGGAGCGGUUUGGCAGAGGAUACGGCAUCACAAGAUUCGAUUUUCGUACUUCAGACUUUGUCCGUUCGGAAGCACUUCAGAAGGAAAAAGCUUUGGCGUGAAAGUUUGUGGCACCUGUUCGGCUUCGAGAGUUAUUUUCAGGUGAUGUUCGGAGUCUCACGACCGUUUCGAGGCAUUCGUCAAAGGCGUUUAGGUGAAUUAGUUGAGAUCUUGCAACCCAGAGUCUCUCCUUAGAUUUCUGUUGUUCUCUAUCCUUAAACAGAAGUCGUAUCCAAGUUGAGUCUGUUAUCUACUUCAAAUAGUAAACUUCUUAGAAGCUCUUGUACGAGUCUAGACCAGGUUUUGGGAAUUUCUUAUAAUAAAAGUAUUUUUUCCGCAUUGGUGUAAUAUUUAAACUGCUAGAGUAUGUUUACAUGUUGUUAUUCCGCAUGUUGUAUCAAAUUAAGGUAGUUACCUGAAAGGUUCGCCCACCAGGAAGGGUUAGUGUGGGUGCCCGCAUGAUCCAUGAUUUGGGUCGUGACACGGACAUACUCCAAUGUAGAAUCCAUACCUGCC